GUUUUGCUACAUCCCAAUGUAAGACCCCUGGAGUGGGGAGACCUUCACUCAAGUCUCAGGAUGACACCACCUCCCAAGAACUCACAAGAGACU
rnacentral:pre_miRNA from 14 species